rnacentral:rRNA from 1 species
GACGAACGCUGGCGGCGUGCUUAACACAUGCAAGUCGAGCGGUAAGGCCCUUUCGGGGUACGACGAGCGGCGAACGGGUGAGUAACACGUGGGUGACCUGCCCUCAGCUCUGGGAGUAAGCCUGGGAAACCGGGUCUAAUACUGGAUAUGACUCCAUGACGCAUGUUGUGGGGUGGAAAGCCUUGUGCGGCUGAGGAUGGGCCCGCGGCCUAUCAGCUUGUUGGUGGGGUGGAUGGCCUACCAAGGCGACGACGGGUAGCCGGCCUGAGAGGGCGACCGGCCACACUGGGACUGAGACACGGCCCAGACUCCUACGGGAGGCAGCAGUGGGGAAUCUUGCGCAAUGGGCGAAAGCCUGACGCAGCGACGCCGCGUGAGGGAU